rnacentral:lncRNA from 1 species
CCCCCAGCGGCUAGGACCCCUUCCCUGGGCGCGGUGUGGCACGGGGCACUCGCCCCGGUCGCCGGCUCCACCUCCCGCGCGAAGGAGCAACGGCAACAGCGGCCGGACGAACCUCCCCCUGCCCUGGACGAAGGAAGAAGAAGAUGCAGGGAGAAGAGAGAGAAGAACGGGUGGGGCCCCACGUGUAAGAGAGAGAAGAUGGAGUGGAUAGGGUGACCCCACGUGUAAGAGAGAUAAGCAGGUCAACCCCUGGGCCCGCGCAUUUUUAAGUGGAAACGCAUUUUCUGAAAGACGCUUUCCUGUUCUAAAAGCGUAAUCGGUCGGAAUACGUUUUCUGUUUUAGCUCUAGGGACAUAUUUGCAGUUAUUCUUUUUAUAGAUUGGUCCCUGGUGCUCUAACGAGCGUAUCUCCGCAACCGUAGCUCCGAUUGAGGUAAAACCAGCGCCCACGUCUUCGUCUCGUCGAGCCCAUUUCGAUAGUGUCAUUUUCAUAAUAUGUUGGCAUAGUAGAAAUGACCGUUUUGCCCUUGCCUUUGUUUGAGCCUUCUGAGAGGGAAACCCUCUCCGGCAAAUCUUUCCGGUGUGUUAUUGCCCUUCUUCUCGUAGUAUUCGUCGACCACCAGGCAAGCCAACCUCUUACCAUGAACUCCGGACCUGCGUGAUAACUUUGCUUGCACUUUGGGUGUUUAUCUGUAUCACCUGUUAGUCUGCAUUUGCAUAUAAGUGUGAUGACAUUAAUAAUAGUUUCUAGUACUACUUUUCAUCCAACAUACACCCUCAGAUGUUGCUCUUACAUAUUAAAUUCAAAUGCUUAUAUCCGAG